AUACGGAAGGUCCGGGCGUUAUCCGGAUUUAUUGGGUUUAAAGGGAGCGCAGGCGGAGAUGCAAGCGUGACGUCAAAUUUCGGGGCUCAACCCCGUCUCGCGUCGCGAACUGCGUCCCUUGGUUGCGGGAAGGGGAGGCGGAACUCGGGGUGUAGCGGGGAAAUGCAUAGAUAUCACGAAGAACUCCGAUCGCGAAGGCAGCCUUCCGGCCCGUCAACGACGCUCAUGCUCGAAGGUGCGGGUAUCAAACAGGAUUAGAUACCCUGGUAGUCCGCACAGUAAACGAUGGACACCCGCGGUUUGGCCUGUAUGGCUGAGCCGCCAAGCGAAAGCGUUAAGUGUCCCACCUGGGGAGUACGCCGGCAACGGUGAAACUCAAAGGAAUUGACGAAG
rnacentral:rRNA from 1 species